GUAAUUUCUUAUACGGAAGAAAUGCACAAUCGUUCGUGCAUUAUUUAUUUUCAAAGCACCCGCGUUCGACGUCACAUGCCUACGUUCGAUCACGUGAAUUUUCAUGCGUGCGCUCAUGUGUGCGCUUAUCUAUUCACUUUGCUUCUUCUCAAACGAGCCAGUUAUUGAGCACAGUAGGAGCUAGGUGUUGCUGAAACCGCGUGGGAAUCACCUGUCGCAAUUUCAGCUCAACGAAAUAUUUUUCGCACUUGUAUUACGAGAUACCUAGGGAAGCUGCAUCGUUACUAACAGCAGCGAAGACGAAUCUGACCAAAUUUGACUGUUGUUGUGACAGCUGGCUGACCUGUCGCGUGCCAGUAUUCACGCGAAGAAAGUGCGAUUCGGCGACGAUGUUGUGCUCCACUCCACUGCCUUGCACGCAACCUAGCGAUGGUGACCAAUGCCAGUGAAAUUUUUUCAACUUUUGUUCGCCGCUUUUGUGAUGAGCAGCAAAGGGACUUCAUUCAUCAUGGAGAAGCCGAAUGAUCGACAGACAUGCUGAGCCACCUAACUCGACAAGGUCUAUCUUUCGAGAAGAGGCUGCCCAAAUACAAGGUGCCCAAACAUUAGAAAUGCACCCGCAUACAUGGAGUCGUAUGGAGACACUGUGCUGGUUCCUGAACAGCAAAAGAGACGAACAGGUGGAGCAAUUGCCUGCCCAUACUUCCAGAUGCCACAGGUGUCACGACUCAAGGUAGCAUUCAGGCCAGGAGCCCUCCAGGCAUAGGGAUGAGUGGAGCAAUAUGGUGGUUGAAUCAAACCAGGUACAUCGAUCGCCAACUUAGCUGCAAGCUGGAUUUUUGCAUGCAUGUAUCCCAUGUUGUUGUAAGCAUGUAUACCAUGAUUGCUUGGAAUUGUUUAAUAAAAAGAUUUCACAGGCUGAAAA